rnacentral:misc_RNA from 1 species
CCUUACGUAUAGAUUCUCUUGAUGAGUGUCCACACAGAUUGAUUAGGUUUAAGUAAGUUUAAGAGACGAUAUUGGGUCUGUAGCUCAGGUGGUUAGAGCGUUCGCCUGAUAAGCGAGAGGUCGGUGGUUCAAGUCCACUCAGACCCACCAAUUUUUCCUUGUGAAGAUUGAACAGUAUCGACACCUGAUGGGGUUAUAGCUCAGCUGGGAGAGCGCCUGCCUUGCACGCAGGAGGUCUGCGGUUCGAUCCCGCAUAGCUCCACCAUCUUUAAGCGCAUUCGAUGAGUGCUUUUAAAAAUGGUUUUCGUUAGAAAAUCUUGCUCUUUAACAAUUUGGAAAGCUGACAGUUAAUAAUUUGAUUAAUUAUUAACUAUUAAAAGUUCUCAAAUACUAAUCUUUUGAUUAGGUACCAAUACACAUUCAAGUGUUCUUGGGAAUCUUACUUUAUAAGUAAGUAUUCAUAUUUGAGUCCGGCAAAAUCGAAAUGUCUCUCGCUCAUUCAAAUAAUGAGAGACAACUAAACCUUGGGUGUUUGCCAUACAUAAAGACCUCCUGGGGUUGUAU